AGCAACCUGCUCGGGACCCCUCUCUGUGACUGUGAGCUGUUCUGUUCUUUUGCCUAUUAAACUCCUGCUCCAAACUCACUCGAUGUGUGUGUGCAUGUCCUUGACCUCAAUAUCUGGUCGUGUGACCAAGAACCUCAGUAUUCACCCCAGACAACAAGGCUGCUUCAUUUUGAGGGCUCGUCUGGGAUUUGAAGGUGACUUCAUCAGAAUGCUUUGCUGCUAAAGGGAUCUGCAGUCCAGCUGAAAACCUGCCCUUGCCUGAGCCCAGCCACUUUCUCCCAGAGAAAACUGGAGAACCUAAACAUGAUUGUGAACAGAAUGGCUUCCGGUGGCCUGGGACUCCUUGGGGAAACAGAAAAUGCACCACAAAUCCCAUUUUAGGAAAAAUCUGUUUUCCUCGGAGCCCCUGGAAUUAAAGAAACCAUCAAGCUUCAGAUGGUGCUGAAAAUGGAGCCGAAAAUGAAACUGCCCUCCUACGAGGGACCCUUAAAUCAACCCCAGGAGGAGCCCUAGCUGCUGUUCCCCACACAACGCCACUCUCCAGCAGGAAGUAGCCAGAAGAAAUCGUCACCCAGUUUCCCCUAGCAGCAGCGCAGUAAGAUUGAGGAGCUAAAAACAGACUUGGGUGGAUGUCUGCAGCUGCAAGAAGAUGUGUGGGAACAGACACAGAAACUCUCCCUCCCAGAUAAGCAAGACAAAGAAACACAGAAUAAGAGUCCAUCUAUGUGGUCAGAGAAUGGGAUAAGAGCUGAUUUAAAAAAACUCUGCUCUAUAUAGAAGGCACACCUGGUCCCAACCAAACCACUGGACCCUAGGAGGAUAAGACCUCCUCUGCUCAUGAGCCCCCUCCUCAGUAGCCCAUUUAUAAAAACCCUGACAAUUUUACUACCACUUGGCAACCCGCUCGGGACCCCUCUCUGUGAUGGAGAGCUGUUCUUUUCUUUUGCCUAUUAAACUCCUGCUCCAAACUCA
rnacentral:lncRNA from 10 species